AUUUAUAAUCUGGCACCUUCGGUGUCCGAGUUGUAAUCUCUAGAAGUGUUUUCCGCGUUGGACCGCACACAAGUCUGUUGGAAUACAGCGGCAUAGUGGUGAAACCCCCGUAUAUGGUGCGGACGCCCAGCGCUUUGUGAUACACUUUCAAUGAGUCGAGUUGUUUGGGAAUGCAGCUCAAAUUGGGUGGUAAAUUCCAUCUAAAGCUAAAUAUUGGCGAGAGACCGAUAGCGAACAAGUACCGUGAGGGAAAGAUGAAAAGCACUUUGGAAAGAGAGUUAACAGUACGUGAAAUUGUUGGAAGGGAAACGCUUGAAGUCAGACUUGCUUGCCGGAGCUUGCUUCGGUUUGCAGGCCAGCAUCAGUUUUCCGGGGUGGAUAAUGACGGUUUGAAGGUAGCAGUCUCGGCUGUGUUAUAGCUUUCCGUUGGAUACGCCCUGGGGGACUGAGGAACGCAGCGUGCUUUUUGCGAAAGACUCGUCUUUUUCACGCUUAGGAUGCUGGUGGAAUGGCUUUAAACGACCCGUCUUGAA
rnacentral:rRNA from 1 species